UACGUAGGGACCGAGCGUUGUCCGGAAUCAUUGGGCGUAAAGAGCGUGUAGGCGGCUAUUUAAGUCCUGCGUGAAAAUCCUGCGGGCUCAACCGCAGACGGUCGUGGGAAACUGGAUGGCUAGAGUGCGGGAGAGGAGAGUGGAAUUCCCGGUGUAGCGGUGAAAUGCGCAGAUAUCGGGAAGAACACCCGUGGCGAAGGCGGCUCUCUGGAACGCAACUGACGCUGAGACGCGAAAAGCGUGGGUAGCAAACAGG
rnacentral:rRNA from 1 species